CUCUCCCGCGUGCCUUUUCUCUCCAAAAAACCCUUCCCUCCUCUUCUGUCCCGCUUCUUCUCUCCCAAAACCCUUCUCCCCUCUUCUCUCAUCCCUUCAAUAACUGACCCAAACUCUCUCUCUCUCUCUCUCUCUCUCUCUCUCUCUCUCUCUCUCUCUCCUGUGAAGCACUGCGGGAUACGAUUUCUGCCUGCUGCAACCGAGAUCCGGCGAUAGAACAGCCAUCGACAUAGAUCCAUCGAUACGAAGCCACCCCGUCAAUCAUCUUCUCUAACAAAGGUAAAUGACAUUAAGUUCAGGCAGGAGUAUAAGAAAGUGUCAUUCCUUCCCCAUUUGUGAAUCUAUGAGUCGUGCAUGUGUUUUCACGCUGCUCCCUUCUUGGGAAUGGAGCAGUUGCCACAGUUUCCACAUUUACAGCAAUGGCUUGGCCUUGCAAUUACUGGUACUAUAGAACUUGGUCACAUUGUAGACCUCCCUGUCAUCAGAACAACAACAUCCAUUGUUCCUCUUGCAUGGAGUGGUGUUCCUCUUCAUGUUAAUCAUUGACAUUUUGGCCUACUUCUCCAAAAAUAAAAAAAGAAAA